rnacentral:lncRNA from 1 species
UGAGGGGCACUGCACUGUAAAUAUAUGAAUACAUUGUAUUGUGUUAGCCAGGUUCUAAGUUACUCCCAUGGUGCCACUGCCCCCUGCUGCCACCUUCUGAUUGGGGGUGGGAGGCACUCCAGUGUCACAGGGCCUCAAAAGUCCUUUUCUCUCAGACAUCGUCUUUGCUGGUUUAAAAGGCUCUCUCAGGAAGCUAAGGACAGAGGAGACACAGAAAGAGAGAAAACAUGGCUAUAUGCUUAUGAGACAAAAAGAGAAAGACAGACCCUGGUAACCGAGACUGGAUCCAGAGAGAGAUACUUUGCUUGACAUCUUGGGUGUGUGAGGGGAGCAGUGGCCCAUUCUCUGUCACUCCCCUUACAAUGCAGUCUCCCCUGUUCAUUCCUUCCAUAAUUAUUGAUUGGACAUUUAUUACGUCCCAGGCACAACAGUGAAUAAAAUGCACACAGUCCC